UAAACAAAAAUAACUUUCUAAGAGCAGGGCGGUAAAUUAAAUUUUAUGUGAGAAUACAUAAGUAAUUUAAUGGGACGAUAAGACCCUAAAAGGUUUAUUUGUUUGAGACUGUAUGGGUUUUUAUUAAAUUGUUGGCUUUAAUUUUUUUUACUGGGGUAGUAGCUCAAUAUUUACUUGUGUAAAGGUUAAAUUGUAGAUAUACAGUAAAUUAAAGGUCCUCUGUUAGGACAAGUAGAGUUAGUUACUUUAGGGAUAACAGCGUAAUAGUCUUGGAGAGACCAAAUCUAUAAGACAGAUUGCGACCUCGAUGUUGAAUUAAAAAUUCUAAGCGAUGCAGAAGGCGCUUUGGACGGUUUGUUCAACCGUUAAAAUUUUACAUGAUCUGA
rnacentral:rRNA from 1 species